rnacentral:rRNA from 1 species
CCUACGGGUGGCAGCAGUGGGGAAUAUUGGACAAUGGGGGCAACCCUGAUCCAGCCAUGCCGCGUGUGUGAAGAAGGCCCUCGGGUUAUAAAGCACUUUCAGUGAGGAAGAACGCCUGGUGGUUAAUACCCAUCAGGAAAGACAUCACUCACAGAAGAAGCACCGGCUAACUCCGUGCCAGCAGCCGCGGUAAUACGGAGGGUGCGAGCGUUAAUCGGAAUUACUGGGCGUAAAGCGCGCGUAGGUGGCUUGAUAAGCCGGUUGUGAAAGCCCCGGGCUCAACCUGGGAACGGCAUCCGGAACUGUCAAGCUAGAGUGCAGGAGAGGAAGGUAGAAUUCCCGGUGUAGCGGUGAAAUGCGUAGAGAUCGGGAGGAAUACCAGUGGCGAAGGCGGCCUUCUGGACUGACACUGACACUGAGGUGCGAAAGCGUGGGUAGCAAACAGGAUUAGAUACCCCAGUAGUC